rnacentral:tRNA from 1 species
CAGGGAGACAACACAAUGAUUUUGAUGUCUGAGUAAUUUAUUCUUAGGCCGAAAUCCUGCCACCUUAGGUCGAUCGGUACCUCAGCGUUGAAGCAACAGAGUUAACAGAGAUGUUGAUGCGUGUUGUGGAGAUGAUCAGUUCCUAAACUUUGUCUAGGUCACACCCCACAAGGGUUGAGUUUUCCUGGGCCAUUAGCUCAGGUGGUUAGAGCGCACCCCUGAUAAGGGUGAGGUCCCUGGUUCAAGUCCAGGAUGGCCCAUUCGGUGUUGGGGGUUUAGCUCAGUUGGUAGAGCGCCUGCUUUGCAAGCAGGAUGUCAGGAGUUCGAGUCUCCUAACCUCCACUGACCGAACUCAAUCUCCAUUGUCCGGUUACCCGGAGGAUGAACUCGAGGGAAUGUGAUUUAGAUGUGUCCACUAGAUAGGACCCUAGCUUCCUGUCAUUCCGAACAAGUGAUGAUUGCUUGAUUGGUUGAUAUGAUGCUGGGCUCAGAUUAAUCGAAAGAUUAAUUUGAUCUCUAGUAGAACCUUGACAACUGCAUAAGUAAGUCUGGAAAAACGAAGCAUCUUACAGAUGCAUUGUUUUAAGUCUAAAUUCUCGAAAGAGAGUUUAGAUCUAGAAUGAUGAAAAUUCUUUUAAGCAAGAGCCGAGACUCUUAGAUGUUCUUUUUAUCGUGUCGAGCGAUAAGGAGUUUGAUUUUGUUUUUAUGAGUAGCGAAAGUUGCUGAUGAAACCAGAAGAAUCUGCUUUCAACCGCAGUAAGCGUUUAAGAGGUUAAUU